UGGGGAAUUUUGGACAAUGGGCGAAAGCCUGAUCCAGCAAUGCCGCGUGUGUGAAGAAGGCCUUCGGGUUGUAAAGCACUUUUGUCCGGAAAGAAAUCCUUGGCUCUAAUACAGUCGGGGGAUGACGGUACCGGAAGAAUAAGCACCGGCUAACUACGUGCCAGCAGCCGCGGUAAUACGUAGGGUGCAAGCGUUAAUCGGAAUUACUGGGCGUAAAGCGUGCGCAGGCGGUUUGCUAAGACCGAUGUGAAAUCCCCGGGCUCAACCUGGGAACUGCAUUGGUGACUGGCAGGCUAGAGUAUGGCAGAGGGGGGUAGAAUUCCACGUGUAGCAGUGAAAUGCGUAGAGAUGUGGAGGAAUACCGAUGGCGAAGGCAGCCCCCUGGGCCAAGUACUGACGCUCAUGCACGAAAGCGUGGGGAGCAAACAGGAUUAGAUACCCUGGUAGUCCACGCCCUAAAACGAUGUCAACUAGUUGUUGGGGGAUUCAUUUCCUUAGUAACGUAGCUAACGCGUGAAGUUGACCGCCU
rnacentral:rRNA from 1 species